rnacentral:rRNA from 1 species
GUCGAACGAAGUAGCAAUACUUAGUGGCAGACGGGUGAGUAACAUGUAGGUAUCUGCCCUUUGGCCUGGAAUAACACGAGGAAACUUGUGCUAAUACCGGAUAAGUCUUUACGGAGAAAGCUUUAUGCACCAUUGGAUGAGCCUGCACUUGAUUAGUUUGUUGGUGGGGUAAUGGCCUACCAAGACUGUGAUCAAUAGCUGAUUUGAGAGGAUGAUCAGCCACAUUGGGACUGAGACACGGCCCAAACUCCUACGGGAGGCAGCAGUGGGGAAUCUUGCACAAUGGAGGAAACUCUGAUGCAGCGAUGCCGCGUGAGUGAAGAAGGCCUUUGGGUUGUAAAGCUCUUUCGUCGGGGAAGAAAAUGACUGUACCCGAAUAAGAAGGUCCGGCUAACUUCGUGCCAGCAGCCGCGGUAAUACGAAGGGACCUAGCGUAGUUCGGAAUUACUGGGCUUAAAGAGUUCGUAGGUGGUUGAAAAAGUUAGUGGUGAAAUCCCAGAGCUUAACUCUGGAACUGCCAUUAAAACUUUUCAGCUAGAGUAUGAUAGAGGAAAGCAGAAUUUCUAGUGUAGAGGUGAAAUUCGUAGAUAUUAGAAAGAAUACCAAUUGCGAAGGCAGCUUUCUGGAUCAUUACUGACACUGAGGAACGAAAGCAUGGGUAGCGAAGAGGAUUAGAUACCCUCGUAGUCCAUGCCGUAAACGAUGUGUGUUAGACGUUGGAAAUUUAUUUUCAGUGUCGCAGCGAAAGCGAUAAACACACCGCCUGGGGAGUACGACCGCAAGGUUAAAACUCAAAUGAAUUGACGGGGACCCGCACAAGUAGUGGAGCAUGUGGUUUAAUUCGAAGAUACGCGCAGAACCUUACCAACACUUGACAUGUUCGUCGCGACUCUAAGAGAUUAGAGUUUUCGGUUCGGCCGGACGAAACACAGGUGCUGCAUGGCUGUCGUCAGCUCGUGUCGUGAGAUGUUGGGUUAAGUCCCGCAACGAGCGCAACCCUCACUUUUAGUUGCCAUCAUUAAGUUGGGCACUCUGAAAGAACUGCCAGUGAUAAGCUGGAGGAAGGUGGGGAUGACGUCAAGUCCUCAUGGCCCUUACGUGUUGGGCUACACACGUGCUACAAUGGUAUCUACAACAGGAAGCAAGACUGCGAAGUUAAGCAAAUCCCUAAAAGAUACCUCAGUUCGGAUUGCACUCUGCAACUCGAGUGCAUGAAGCUGGAAUUACUAGUAAUCGUGGAUCAGCGUGCCACGGUGAAUGCGUUCCCGGGUCUUGUACACACCGCCCGUCACACCAUGGGAGUUGGUUCUACCUUAAG